GUGGGGAAUCUUGCGCAAUGGGCGAAAGCCUGACGCAGCCAUGCCGCGUGAAUGAUGAAGGUCUUAGGAUUGUAAAAUUCUUUCACCGGGGACGAUAAUGACGGUACCCGGAGAAGAAGCCCCGGCUAACUUCGUGCCAGCAGCCGCGGUAAUACGAAGGGGGCUAGCGUUGCUCGGAAUUACUGGGCGUAAAGGGCGCGUAGGCGGACAGUUUAGUCAGAGGUGAAAGCCCAGGGCUCAACCUUGGAAUUGCCUUUGAUACUGGCUGUCUUGAGUACGGGAGAGGUGUGUGGAACUCCGAGUGUAGAGGUGAAAUUCGUAGAUAUUCGGAAGAACACCAGUGGCGAAGGCGACACACUGGCCCGUUACUGACGCUGAGGCUCGAAAGCGUGGGGAGCAAACAGGAUUAGAUACCCUAGUAGUCC
rnacentral:rRNA from 1 species